rnacentral:rRNA from 1 species
AACGAACGCUGGCGGCAGGCCUAACACAUGCGAGUCGAGCGCGCCCUUCGGGGUGAGCGGCGGACGGGUGAGUAACGCGUGGGAACGUGCUCUUUUCUACGGAAUAGCCUCGGGAAACUGAGAGUAAUACCGUAUACGCCCUUUGGGGGAAAGAUUUAUCGGAAAAGGAUCGGCCCGCGUUGGAUUAGGUAGUUGGUGGGGUAAUGGCCUACCAAGCCGACGAUCCAUAGCUGGUUUGAGAGGAUGAUCAGCCACACUGGGACUGAGACACGGCCCAGACUCCUACGGGAGGCAGCAGUGGGGAAUCUUAGACAAUGGGGGCAACCCUGAUCUAGCCAUGCCGCGUGAGUGAUGAAGGCCUUAGGGUUGUAAAGCUCUUUCAGCUGGGAAGAUAAUGACGGUACCAGCAGAAGAAGCCCCGGCUAACUCCGUG